rnacentral:rRNA from 1 species
AAACCAACAGGGAUUGCCUUAGUAGCGGCGAGUGAAGCGGCAAAAGCUCAAAUUUGAAAUCUGGCUCUUUCAGAGUCCGAGUUGUAAUUUGAAGAAGGUAUCUUUGGGUCUGGCUCUUGUCUAUGUUUCUUGGAACAGAACGUCACAGAGGGUGAGAAUCCCGUGCGAUGAGAUGAUCCAGGCCUAUGUAAAGUUCCUUCGAAGAGUCGAGUUGUUUGGGAAUGCAGCUCUAAGUGGGUGGUAAAUUCCAUCUAAAGCUAAAUAUUGGCGAGAGACCGAUAGCGAACAAGUACAGUGAUGGAAAGAUGAAAAGAACUUUGAAAAGAGAGUGAAAAAGUACGUGAAAUUGUUGAAAGGGAAGGGCUUGAGAUCAGACUUGGUAUUUUGUAUGUUACUUCUUCGGGGGUGGCCUCUACAGUUUAUCGGGCCAGCAUCAGUUUGGGCGGUAGGAGAAUUGCGUUGGAAUGUGGCACGGCUUUGGUUGUGUGUUAUAGCCUUCGUCGAUACUGCCAGCCUAGACUGAGGACUGCGGUUUAUACCUAGGAUGUUGGCAUAAUGAUCUUAAGUCGC